GAUUUCUGGUAUGAUGCCCCUGAUCCGCCUCUUCGGAGUGUGAGUGUCGGUGUGGCGUCUGCCAUCUUUGUAGUUGCCUUGUCCACAUCGCUGGGCUCCUUCACUGGUUUUCAGCAGUGGGUCAAACACGGUGCUACAUAUUUUACUUUGAAAAAAUUAGAGUGUUUAAAGCAGGCUUUUGCUAUGAAUACAUUAGCAUGGAAUAAUAAUAUAGGACUUCGGUUCUAUUUUGUUGGUUUCUAGUACUGAAGUAAUGAUUGAUAGGGAUAGUUGGGGGUGCUAGUAUUCAGCGGCCAGAGGUGAAAUUCUUGGAUUCGCUGAAGACUAACUUAUGCGAAAGCAUU
rnacentral:rRNA from 1 species